CGAGGGCGGAGCUGAGGGAACCACCCUCCGCCGAACCGGGCACAGGACGGGUGGGCAGUCCUGGAACGUCUCCUGUUCUGUUGCAGCUGACGGGGACCGCCCCCACCCACCGGACUUCCCAGCAGAGCCCGGUGCACCCGGGCCCCACCGACAGCUGCGGGCCCCAGGAGUACUGGUCCCCAGGCCACUGCUGCCGGCUCUGCCCCGCGGGGGAGCAUGUCCGUGAACCCUGCAGCCGCCCCCACACCCGGGGACAGUGCGACAAGUGUGACCCAGGCACGUUCACGGCGUUCCCCAACGGCCUGGGGUCCUGCCUGCUGUGUGGCACCUGCUCCCAGGACCAAGACCAGGCAGCCGAGUGCACUGCCACCAGCAACACGAGGUGCCAGUGCUGACCAGGCCGUUUCUACAAAGCCCCUGGCGACAAGGAA